rnacentral:rRNA from 1 species
UACGGCGGUGGCUAGCGUUGUUCGGAAUUACUGGGCGUAAAGGGCGCGUAGGCGGCUUUGCAAGUCAGAUGUGAAAGCCCCGGGCUUAACUCGGGAACUGCAUCUGAAACUGCUUAGCUUGAGUCCUGGAGGGGGUAGUGGAAUUCCCAGUGUAGCGGUGAAAUGCGUAGAUAUUGGGAGGAACACCUGCGGCGAAGGCGGCUACCUGGACAGUGACUGACGCUGAGGCGCGAAAGCUAGGGGAGCGAACGGG